rnacentral:lncRNA from 1 species
CCUAUUACGGUUACGGUGUUGGAACGAUAACAAGGUUUUUGGGUUUCGGAGGGAUUACUCCGAACCGACAAAAUAUUUCGACUCACAGGGUGAGUUCCGGAUAGGUAUUCAUGACACCGAUACAAAGUGUGAACAUGAAAGCGACACGUCUUACGGUUACGGAGGCUAACUUCGUCAAAGUUUGGCGGAACAAAAAGAAUAAUAAUAAUAAUAAUAAUAAUAAUAAUAAUAA